rnacentral:rRNA from 1 species
UACGUAGGGCGCAAGCGUUGUCCGGAUUCACUGGGUGUAAAGGGUGCGCAGGCGGGAAAGUAAGUUAGAGGUGAAAUCUCACAGCUCAACUGUGAAACUGCCUUUGAUACUGCUUUUCUUGAGUUAGGGAGAGGUUGAUGGAAUUCCAGGUGUAGCGGUGAAAUGCGUAGAUAUCUGGAAGAACACCAGUGGCGAAGGCGGCUCACUGGCCCGGUACUGACGCUGAGGUGCGAAAGCGUGGGGAGCAAACAGG